rnacentral:tRNA from 1 species
GGGGUCGUAGUCCAGCUUGGUUAAGAUUCUCCCUUGGGGUGGGAGAGACCGUGAGUUCGAAUCUCACCGACCCCA